rnacentral:lncRNA from 1 species
UAAAAGAGUCCCAUUCUUAGGAAAAUGAUGAGAAUGUGUUAUAGCAAUUUGAAAAAAGCUAACUCUCUAGUUUUUGAUAAUAGGCUCUUAUUUUUCUUUAUAGAAUGAACACCACACAUCUGAUUUAAUCAUUCUCUAAAGGUGAAGACCCUUCCUUCUGAGACUAAGGAGCUUAAAGACCGAAAUAAGGAAACAUCAAUAGUGAACACAGGACAGCUGAUUUAAUCAUUUAAUAAAGAAUUGUUGUCGCAAGCAAGGAGCAUAAAGUCUAAUAUAAAAUGAACAACUCUACCAUAUUUGAUUAUUAGCCCAUGGCAAAGAUCUUGAGUUUUACCUCUUUGGAUAAAGAGAGAAGAGAUCUAUCGGAUAUAAACUUCUCCAUUGGUAUUGUUAUAGACCAUGAACCCACUGAGGAGGAGAAUAUACAAAAAUGGAAAAUUUUGCAUUUUUCUUAGUUGUGGUAUAAAAUGGAAGUUCAUUGUUCAUCUUUAAAAUAUGGAUGUUAAGUGAAAGAGGUCCAAGCAUGGACGAAUGGCUAAUAUGGAACUGAUAUGAUGCAACGAAAUGGAUUCACUCCUAUUUUCAAUGCUGGGCUGCAUUGCACAAAGAGAGCUACUUCUCUAGCUCUGUAGGAAGUGAAUGUUCACAGACAUAUUCAUAUCUUCAAGGAUCUUGGUUUUAUUUUCCUAAUUAAUGGACAUUAUUGACUGUAUUAUUAUUAAUGAAUCAAUGAAUAAGUCAAGAAAAAUAUAUCAAACAAAGGCACAGAAUACCAAGUCUGGAUCAAUGAUGAGUAUGCGUGGGGCAUCUGAAUAACAUUUUGAUUAAACCCAGUCUGUAACUCUGAGGUCCGUUGCAUCUUUGGGAAAUGUGCUUACGAAGUCAGAAAUAUUCAAGGAUUGUGUUCUUGACCUUUUGUUGUUUAUGAAUAUGGAUUGUAUUAUUGUAAGUAAAUAAAUGUAUGAAUAAAUGAAUAGGAGGGCUACAUCUUGUCCAAUUAUGAAAGGAGCUUAUGAACCAAAAAUGAUUGUUAAUACAUUUCUGAAAAUUUGAGUUCAAUAAAAUAGACCAAGGCUACUCCUCCUUUGGGAGCAUAGAUAUAUGUGAACAUCAGUGUUGUUCUUGGUUGGUGGUGAGUUUCUGGUUGUAUGUCUUACUUUAAGAAUAUUUACAUAGCUG